rnacentral:rRNA from 1 species
UGGGGAAUAUUGGACAAUGGGGGCAACCCUGAUCCAGCAAUGCCGCGUGAAGGAUGAAGUAUUUCGGUAUGUAAACUUCGAAAGAAUAGGAAGAAUAAAUGACGGUACUAUUUAUAAGGUCCGGCUAACUACGUGCCAGCAGCCGCGGUAAUACGUAGGGACCAAGCGUUGUUCGGAUUUACUGGGCGUAAAGGGCGCGUAGGCGGCAAUUCAAGUCAUCUGUGAAAUCUCCGGGCUUAACUCGGAACGGUCAGAUGAUACUGCUUUGCUAGAGUGCAGAAGGGGCAAUCGGAAUUCUUGGUGUAGCGGUGAAAUGCGUAGAUAUCAAGAGGAACACCUGAGGUGAAGACGGGUUGCUGGGCUGACACUGACGCUGAGGCGCGAAAGCCAGGGGAGCAAACGGGAUUAGAUACCCCGGUAGUCCCUGAGCGGGCUGGCAAGGCGCAU